rnacentral:tRNA from 1 species
GGGCGGUUAGCUCAGCUUGGUUAGAGCAGUUGAUUUACAUUCAACAGGCCGUAGGUUCAAUCCCUACACCGCCCA